rnacentral:rRNA from 1 species
GAUAAACGCUGGCGGCGCACAUAAGACAUGCAAGUCGAACGGACUUAACCAUUAGUUUACUAUUGGAGCGGUUAGUGGCGGACUGGUGAGUAACACGUAAGCAACCCGCCUAUCAGAGGGGAACAACAGUUAGAAAUGACUGCUAAUACCGCAUAUGCCUUAGUAACACAUGUUACAAAAGGGAAAGGAGCAAUCCGCUGAUAGAUGGGCAUGCGUCUGAUUAGAUAGUUGGUGAGGUAACGGCUCACCAAGGCGACGAUCAGUAGCUGGUCUGAGAGGACGAUCAGCCACACUGGGACUGAGACACGGCCCAG